AGAGGAGCUGUGACUUGGAAUAGCACAUUGUCGACUAUUGGAGAAGCUGUCUUUGCUAAUUUUUUAAUAAGGCUUUGUAGCCAAAUUCUUCCUUUAAAGAAAUAAAGUAUUCACAUUUUGAAUUUGUUCUUUAUUCUUCAAAGUGUUUGUGUUUUUCUUGAUGAUGUGCUGUACUUGAAGUUUUAAAGUUUAAAGUUGCCUAUGUACCCUCGAUUGAGGAGGGAUCAAGUCAUGACAUAGUUCAAAUGGGUGAUGGGUUUUUGGCGAUUUUGAUGGUGAUCUUAAUGGUGAUUUUUUUGUUUUGUUUUUGUUUUGUUUUGUUUUACCAUACACAGUUUAUGCUCUUGCGGGCCAGGAACAUUAAGUGUCGCCUUUUAGGCUCGUGCGAACAAGGAGUGUCAAGUGUUACCUUUUAAGCUCGUGUAAACAAGAAGCAUUAUGCCGUGUGUAGUUUAGAUUCAUGCAGGCGAGGAGCAUUGAGUGUUUGUUUUAGGGGUAAUAACUCUUCAAGAAUCUACCGUUGAUGGGGCCGAUCUUCAAGUCAUCGUCUGCCAUGAUUAGGUAGGCACCGUUGGUGUAGACUUCUUGUAUUACGUAAGGUCCUUCCCACUUUCAUGUGUAUUUGCUUUUUGUUUUGUGAGUUAUGAUGAUAAGCCUUCGUAAUGCCAAGACAAGAUCUCCAGUUUAGAAAGACCUUGGGUGGACCUUCUUGUUGAAUGCCUUGGAUAGCCGUGCUUGGUAGCAUUCCAAGUGUUGUUAAGCUUCGAGCCUUUUUUUUUGUGAGUGCUUCCAACUCUUGAAGUCGUAGCUUUGCAAUUUCCUCUUUAGUUAAGCCUUCUUGUACAACCAUCCUUAGUGAGGGGAUUUGACUUACGAGUGGCAGGACAACUUCCACACCAUUUACGAGAAUAAGGCGUGGCUUGGGUAGGAGUCAUAUGUGUCGUCCUAUAGGCCCAAAGUGUUUCGCUUAUUCUUUCAUGCCAGUCUCUCUUUGUUCUACCAAUCACCUUUUUAAGGAGGUUGCACAGCGUUUUGUUGAAUGCUUCUGCAAGAUGCUUGGUUGGAGUAUGAUACAUAGAAGAUUUAUGCUGCUUGAACUUGUAUUUCUUGCAGAGCUCGCCCACGAGUCAGUUGGAGAACUAUUUUCUGUUGUCAGUGAUGAUGAGCAAGGCACACAAUGUCGGUAAAUAAUAUACUUCUUGAUAAAGCAGA
rnacentral:lncRNA from 1 species